rnacentral:lncRNA from 1 species
CUUUAAGUCAUGACAUCACAAUUAAAUACAUUGAGUUCAAAAAUCCCAAAUCUUCGUUUAUAUCAAAACUAAUAUUUGUUUACAUAGUAAAACCAGAGUACUACAACUCAACCUUUAACAGCGGAGCGACUCGGGAUAAAAUGCUAUGAGAUGCCUUUACCUAUCUACGGUAGACCGUACGUGCCGAUGAUUACCUACUAGGCUGAUCACUGUCUGCAAAAAG